AUGAGAAGCUCAGGCUGGAAUCAGCACUGCCUGUCGUCCAUCAAACCCCCUGAGUGCUUUGUCUUCAUUUUGACUUGGUUUCUCCUUUGUGGGCUUGUGGCCGGGCUUCUGCCAGACAGUGGUGGGUCUAAAUCUGCUGCUGGGAACACUUCAGGCUCACAAAAAUACGACGUUAAAACUAACCCUUUGCUUACCUGGGGAUCUGGGAUUACUCAUCACCCACGCAGGCUGCCUGUUUUCCUAUCCACACACAUUCUCUGACCCAGACCAGCUGGCUAGAGACCAUGAUCCCAGCAGCAAGAAGUGGGAACUGUUGGAUACCAAGAAGAAAACUGCUGCUGGGUCACUCCAAGUCAGCACAGCCUCCAGGUCUCAGAAAUACUUGGACAGAGAGAUCCAAGACAAGCCAUGCACUCUGCUCAGCUCAUCCCCUGCCACUGCUCCUCCCUGCAAACACCUCCCUCACCCCAGUUCCCCUGAAGACAGAGAGGUAAGUGUGAUAUAAAAGGCAGAGCCGUGAACUAGAAAGCUAUGAGAACAGGCAGAAAUUAAUUCAGCAGCUCAAGGGAUACAAUUGAGAAUCAACCAGAACAUCUCAGAAAUUGCUGCUGGCGACUCCACAGUUGUUCUGUAGCAUGAGGAAGAUAUUGAGCAACUCUGGGCUGCACUGUGAGAAAGGUACUGAAUGUCGUGGCAAAGAAGCAUAGUGGAAAUGUCAUGAAAAAGCUGGGAGGAUGCACUUGGGUGGAAAUACAAGUUAUACUUGGAAGAGAAGGUUCAUCACGUCCCAGCAAAGGGGAAGAUGUGGAGCUCAGAGCUAUCUCUGGCCACUUCUCGGUCAUGUAGCCAGAAGAAAAAGCCAUGUUCUUGUGUAGACAUUGUCCUGCUAAAAAGGCUGUUGGGCUGGGAAGAACAAGAGGCAGCUUUUGGUUUUGCCACAGUUUUCUGUUGUCAUUUUGAGGAAAGACUGAAGAGCUGGGGGCUAGAUUUAACAUGGAAAACUCAUAGAUAAUAUGUUGAUGUUCUGCUCUAUACAGUGUAGGAAUUAGUAGAAACCAAGACGAAACACAUAACAUUGGAGCAUUGUAAUGGAGAAAUGGGAUGGCCCUGCCUAUAAAUUCAGCUUGACUUGCCAACACUGCAAUUCAUUGUAGGGACGUUUCUCUGCAGAGAAGGACGUGGGUGUCCUGGUGGACAACAGGUUGACCAUGAGCCAGUAGCGUGACCUUGUGGCCAGGAGUAUCCUAGGGUACAUUUGAAAGACCAUGGUCAGCAGGGUGAGAGAGGUGAUCCUCCCCCUGUACUGUGCCCUGGUGAGGCCACAAGGCGAGUUCUGUCGCCAGUUCUGGGCUUCCCACUUCAAGAAAGACAAGGAACUAUUGGAGAGAGUCCAGCAGAGGGCUACAAAGAUGACAAGGGGCCUCAAGGAGCAUCUUCCUUAGGAAUAGAGGUUGAGAGACCUGAGGCUGUUCAGUCUGGAGAAGUCUGAGAGGGAAUCUUAUCAAUGUUUAUAAAUAUCUAAAAGGCAGGAGUGAAAUGGAUGGGGUCAGGCUCUUUUCAGUGGUGCCCAGCAACAGGACAAGGAGCGAUGGGCACAAACUGUAACACGGGAAGGUCCGUCUGAAUAUGAGGAAAAACUUCUCUGAGGGUGACAGAGCCCUGGAACAAGCUUCCCAGGGAAGUGGUGGAGACAUUAUAACACUCCUGGACACUUUCUUGUGCAGCCUGUGGGGAACCUGCUCUAGCAGGGAGGGCUGGACUAGUUGAUCUCCUGAGGUCCCCCCUAUGAUUCUGUGACAGCUGCAAGACCUUGUGGGGUGAUGUAUGUACAGUGCUGACCACAGGUGAACGAGAUUGUGUGGUUUGGGUGCUAUGGAAGCUCCCCAAGCUUGGCUGUCAAGGUUAUCCUCUGAAGGCAGCCUUAACACCUCUGCUUUCAGGCAGGACAGAGCCAGUGUGCCAUCAUGGUGCUGCUAGAGCAGGGAUCUUUCCCACAGUGCAAGGUCCCAACAGCAGAUGGUUAUUAAAGAUCCCAUGCUAGUUUCAAAAGAUAAUUCCAAGCUUUAAUCUUGGCUCACUUUCCUUUUACUGGAUUUUUUUUUCUUAGAGGAAACCCCGCUAUCUCCUCUGAAGUAUCAUUUGAAUGUGGCAUUUGCUCUUAAACUUCUCCCACAUUGUACCACCGAGGAAGCCAUUUCAAUAAUGACAUAUUAGUGCCUAUAAGUGCUCUAAAGUGUUUUAAAAAACAGCCCUAAGUGCUCGAUUUACCUUAGGGCACCUCAUGCAUCCCCCCAGCAGAUCAGAGAUUCUUGUCUUUUCCUUCUAGUUGCUCAACAACUGGAAUUGUCCUGUACUUUUUUGCCCAUAAUGCCCAGCAUGAUUUAAAAGCCUUUUUUUCUUUUUCAUAGUGCCUUGAUAAUUUAUAGACAAUGAGAUUUUAUCAGUAGAAAACCACAUUAAGAAAAUGCUUGUUAAUUAUCUGCUGGUUAAUAUGAUAAUUUAGCAAAAAAAAAAACAACACCUAUUAAGAGCUUCUAAUUAGGUGAAAUGCUUCUCAUCUUUAACACACAAAGUGUCCAAGUUAAUGAGGUUCACCUUCGAUUUGUAGCUUGCUCAGAGAUUAAAAGCUCCCUCCAUUUAUAGCUCUUCACAUCACUCCAUUCGUAAAAGCAGACACAAGCCAAGCUUGAAUACCUGACUGCUGCACUAUCUCUUCAAAGGUGAGACGACAAAAACCCAUCUCCCUUCAUGAAAGCCUUUCCAACCCAAUGCACAUCUCCCUCCAUCCCCCGCUGUUUCUAUUUUUGCAGAGCUGGCACGACUGCGGUGGAAGUUAGACGGAACCAGAAGCAAACCAGAUGCCCACAGCGUUAGGGACAAUUUGAGGACUGCUCUGCCAGCUCCGUGUCACCGAGACCAACCUCUGAUCUCACUGACAUCAGUGCAAACCUAACUAAGUCCACUGAAACUUGUGGAGUUCAUCACAUCCAGAAAAUUCAGACUUUGGCUACAUGGGAAGCCAACAUCUAUCUAUCUAUCUAUCUAUCUAUCUAUCUAUCUAUCUAUCUUUCCUUCUUUCUUUCCUUCUUUCUUUCCUUCUUUCUUUCCUUCUUUCUUUCCUUCUUUCUUUCCUUCUUUCUUUCUUUCUCUGUUUAAGAUGAAUUAUUUUGGAGGGUAAAUCUGGUAUAUGUGACAGCUUGGGCAACUUUGUCCUAGGGACUGUGAUGGGAUGGAGAUUAUUUAGAAAGAGGGAUUUUAUUUAGAAGAAAGGAAGGGGAAUGACUUCUUACGUGGUCUAAUAGUGAUAGGACAAGGGGAAAUGGCUUUAAACUAAAGGGGAAAUUUAGGUUAGAUGUUAGGAAGAGAUUCUUUACUCAGAAGGUGGUGAGGAACUGGAGAGGGCUGCCCAGCGAAGUGGAUGCCCCAUCCCUGGAGGCGUUCAAGGCCAGGUUGGAUGGGGCUCUGGACAACCUGAUCUGAUGGGGGGGCAACCAGCCCAUGGCAGGGGGAUUGGAAUUACAUGAUCUUUAAGGUCUCUUCCAAUCCAAGCCACUUUAUAUUUCUUUGAUAUUAUGGUUCUAUGAUUUUACUGUCUGGAAAACUGUCCCCUUCAUGAGGUUCUUCCUGCAAAUACUACACCUUGCAGAACGUGUUCAGAUGCAGCUUCAUUCUUUUCUCCCCUUUCUAGGCUUUUUCUCCUGGAUAAGGCCUUGUGGCUGUGCUGAUGCUUUUUUUUCCUGCAGGAUGACAACUUUUUCACAAUGUGUGUUUAGAACCUGACCUUACAGGUGGGGUAGGAGCAGCUCUUCAGGAAUCAUUUUGCAAUUCAGAAGUACAUUUUAGCCAUUUCGUCCAGCUGGAAAAUGCUCUUAAGCCCCAGGAAAUGCUUUUAAAUUCCACCUCUGUUUCUUGAGCAUUUUGGGGCAGACAGCAAAACUCCUGUGGGGGGAAAUAAAAAAAUCAUGUGAAUGCUAGAAGUGCUGCCU
rnacentral:lncRNA from 1 species